rnacentral:rRNA from 1 species
GAUGAACGCUGGCGGCGUGCCUAAUACAUGCAAGUAGAACGCUGAAGGAAGGAGCUUGCUCUUUCCGGAUGAGUUGCGAACGGGUGAGUAACGCGUAGGUAACCUGCCUGGUAGCGGGGGAUAACUAUUGGAGACGAUAGCUAAUACCGCAUAACAGUAGAUGUUGCAUGAUAUCUACUUAAAAGGUGCAAUUGCACCACUACCAGAUGGACCUGCGUUGUAUUAGCUAGUUGGUGAGGUAACGGCUCACCAAGGCGACGAUACAUAGCCGACCUGAGAGGGUGAUCGGCCACACUGGGACUGAGACACGGCCCAGACUCCUAAGGGAGGCAGCAGUAGGGAAUCUUCGGCAAGGGACGGAAGGCUGACCGAGCAACGCCGGGGGAGGGAAGAAGGUUGUCGGAUCGUAAAGCUCUGUUGUAAGAGAAGAACGAGUGUGAGAGUGGAAAGUUCACACUGUGACGGUAUCUUACCAGAAAGGGACGGCUAACUACGUG